AAAUGCGAUAAGUAAUGUGAAUUGCAGAAUUCAGUGAAUCAUCGAAUCUUUGAACGCACAUUGCGCCCGCCAGUAUUCUGGCGGGCAUGCCUGUCCAAGCGUCAUUUCAACCAUCAAGCCCCCGGGCUUGUGUUGGGGACCUGCGGCUGCCCGCAGGCCCUGAAAACCAGUGGCGGGCUCGCUGUCACACCGAGCGUAGUAGCAAUCACCUCGCUCAGGGCGUGCUGCGGGUUCCGGCCGUUAAACAGCCUUACAAAACCCAAGGUUGACCUCGGAUCAGGUAGGAAGACCCGCUGAACUUAAGC
rnacentral:misc_RNA from 1 species